ensembl:lncRNA
AGAUUUGAACCCAGGAUCUCCCAUCUCUGGACCUGACUCUCUCAAUCCACUGAGCCACCUAGCUGACCCUAAACAACAGUCCACAAUAAUUCCAUAGAUAAAAUUCAGGAAAUCUAUGAAUUUUAGUGGAAAAAAUUACACCAGAAUUUUCACAAAAUCCAGAAAUUUAGCAUCUUGUAAAGGUUCCUAAAUUCCUUAAUUCAUUUUAAGAAUCCUUGCUUGAAAAAAGAGAUGUUCCAAGAGAGCAGUCAUGUGAGGGAUUAUCUUUUGGUAGCCUAUUUUAAAAGUCUCUAGAAUCAUAAUUCUUUGCCAUACUUUAUUAAUAUGUUAUAUUUUCAAGGAAAUCUUUCAGUGAACAAAUGGGGAGAAGAUACAGGAUAUAUCCCAGAGCUUCAUCUUUGAUCCAGACCCCUCAAAAGAUCCUAGCUCACAAGACCCAGGAAGUGCUGAUCCCAUGCCCACCACAUCGGAUUGCAGUGUUGUCAAAACAAGACCACCAAUCCAAGGCUGAGAAGAUGGUGUGCCUCAGACAUCGGUCCUUCAAACACAAGCCCUCCCUCGUUUGUCAUAAGACUAAGUCCCUAAAGAACCAUGGCAGCAACAUCAAUGACAAAUGUCAGCGACCACCACCACACUCUGACCACCAUGAAGUUCACAUUAGACCAGACCUGAAACAAAAGACAAAAGCUUCAGUAGGCCUACUUCAGGGGGGAGAUGCAUUAAGGAACCUCAACCAAAAGGUUCCCCCAGCUGUUUCACCAAAAAUUCAAUCCAGGAACAAACAUCGUCUUCAUCCCAGGGCCAAAUAUACAUCAGGUUCCAAACACCAUACCAAACCCAAACGUUCUUCCCUACAGAAAUCUAAGAGUCAAAACACAAUUCUUCCUUUAAUUUCUGGCAAGACUCCACCACACUGUCAAAUCCCAACUGGUCAUCUAUUGAUGAACACAAACCCUGGUCCAGAGCAAACUACAACUAUUAUGUCAAGUGCCAAGCACCUCUCAGAGAUUCAACCAGAUCCUGACGCUCAAGACACUCCUCCCCUUGAAAUAUUCCACCAAGGCCAAAUGCCCUUGAACAAGGAAGAAUGUGGCACAUUCCCAAGACUUCUGAAUAAUCAGGCAAAAGAUCCAAUAAACCAGAACCACCAAAAGAUUACUCCCCUACAGACUGAGACACCAACAAGUGAUUACAACCAGGCUAAGGAUACACCCAGGUCUUCCAGGCCAUAUAAGGCUCAAUCUCAGAACCAAAACCAGACCCAGCCUGAGCAGAAUAGAGAUGUCCCUCUUGAUUUAAACAAGAUCAACCCUCACACCAUUGUAGAUGGGAUAACUCUUAAUACCCAAAUUGUUGAUAAAAUCAUCAAUACCAUCCCUGAGGCAAAAAUAAAGCAUGAUCUCUAUAAUCAGAUUCACCUGUGGCAGCUGAGGGGAUGUCCCAGACCUGCUACUUGGCCUGGACAAUAUAUGUCUGCUAGUUAUACAGUCUGUUUAAUUUGUGCCUCAUGGAUACCAAAUGGUUGUCCUCAUGUUGGUAGAUUGAAAUGUUUUCCUCUGGCACAAUUGCUGGCCAUACCAACACCUUUACAUGGUUCAGAACAGAAGAAUGUGAGAUUUUACCUUAAAGUGACCCAGGGAACGUCAAACUCUGUUUCAGUUGUCACGAAUUCCCUUCCCAGUAAAGCCAUGCCCUCAGUCCCUUUACUGGCCCCUCCAUCAUGUGGCAACUCGGAUCCAAGUCCUCUACUUGUGCUUCCAAAACUCACUUGGCUGGACUUCAUACUUGCAAAACAUCACCAGUCAAAUAAAGUAAAAUCAUAUCCAAACCAAAAGCCAUUUGAAUUACCCUUAAGGUGUCAGAGAAAUGUAGAAGAAAUUCCUAUGAAACAAAAGAUGCAACUACAAUUCAAGUCUCUCUUAGAGAAAUUUCAAAGUAAGAGAAGAGAAAACUAAAUUAAAAUUUUUAUUUUGAGAAACAAUUGAAUCCUUGUAUGUCUUUCAAGCUUGUGCCGACUGUAUCCCACUCAUUAUUUUAAGUAGCUGGGAAGUUGCUAAGCAUUUUUUCCCUUAGAAUUCAUAAGUGAAACCAUUUAUAGAUAGAUCUUCUUCAUCAUUAUUAAACAGUUGCUAAUGUGAUAGACAUUAACAUGCAGCAAACAUAAAAAUAUUAUCCUUGAUUAAAUGGCAUCACAUUCUAAAGCUGGAAACUAGAUAACAAUACACUGAGGUAAAAAAGGAAUAAAACCUUCCCUCAAUGUUCUCCCUUCUCUUUC